GACUAACGCUGGCGGUAUGCCUUAGACAUGCAAGUCGAACGAGUUUCCGGGCUUGCUCGGAAAUUAGUGGCGAACGGCUGAGUAACGCGUAGGUGACCUACCCCGUAGUGAGGAAUAACUGCCCGAAAGGGUAGCUAAUACCUCAUGUUGAGACGCUUUCAUUGGCGUCUCCAAAGCAGCAAUGCGCUAUGGGCGGGGCCUGCGUUCGAUUAGCUAGUUGGUGAGGUAAUGGCUCACCAAGGCGACGAUC
rnacentral:rRNA from 1 species